UACGUAGGGAGCAAGCGUUGUUCGGAUUUACUGGGCGUAAAGGGCGCGUAGGCGGCGCGGUAAGUCACUUGUGAAAUCUCUGAGCUUAACUCAGAACGGCCAAGUGAUACUGCAGUGCUAGAGUGUGGAAGGGGCAAUCGGAAUUCUUGGUGUAGCGGUGAAAUGCGUAGAUAUCAAGAGGAACACCUGAGGUGAAGACGGGUUGCUGGGCCAACACUGACGCUGAUGCGCGAAAGCCAGGGGAGCAAACGGG
rnacentral:rRNA from 1 species